rnacentral:rRNA from 1 species
UACGAGUGCCCCAAGCAUUAUCCGGAAUUAUUGGGCGUAAAGGGUCCGCAGGCGGAACUGUUAGUCUUAUGUGAAAUCUCCCGGCUUAACUGGGAAAACGCAUAGGAAACGGCAGAUCUAGAGGAUAUGAGAGGUGUGUGGAACUCAUGGUGUAGGGGUGAAAUGCGCAGAUAUCAGGAAGAACACCCGUGGCGAAGGCGGCUCUCUGGGACGGUACUGACGCUGAGACGCGAAAGCGUGGGGAGCGAACAGG